CGCCAGACUCCUACGGGAGGCAGCAGUGGGGAAUAUUGCACAAUGGGGGAAACCCUGAUGCAGCGACGCCGCGUGAGUGAAGAAGUAUUUCGGUAUGUAAAGCUCUAUCAGCAGGGAAGAAAAUGACGGUACCUGAUUAAGAAGCCCCGGCUAACUACGUGCCAGCAGCCGCGGUAAUACGUAGGGGGCAAGCGUUAUCCGGAUUUACUGGGUGUAAAGGGAGCGUAGACGGUGAUGCAAGUCAGAAGUGAAAGCCCGGGGCUCAACUCCGGGACUGCUUUUGAAACUGUGUGACUGGAGUGCAGGAGAGGUAAGCGGAAUUCCUGGUGUAGCGGUGAAAUGCGUAGAUAUCAGGAGGAACACCAGUGGCGAAGGCGGCUUACUGGACUGUAACUGACGUUGAGGCUCGAAAGCGUGGGGAGCAAACAGGAUUAGAUACCCUUGUAUU
rnacentral:rRNA from 1 species